rnacentral:rRNA from 1 species
UUAGGAAUAUUGGGCAAUGGAGGAAACUCUGACCCAGCAACGCCGCGUGAAGGAAGAAGGUUUUCGGAUUGUAAACUUCUGAUCUGUGGGAAGAAGAGAGUGACGGUACCACAGGAGAAAGCCACGGCUAACUACGUGCCAGCAGCCGCGGUAAUACGUAGGUGGCGAGCGUUGUCCGGAAUAACUGGGCGUAAAGGGAGCGUAGGUGGUAAUUUAAGUUAAAUGUGAAAGCCCAGGGCUCAACUCUGGAAUUGCAUUUAAUACUGGGUUACUAGAGUGCAGGAGGGGUAAACGGAAUUUCUAGUGUAGCGGUGAAAUGCGUAGAUAUUAGGAAGAACACCGGAGGCGAAGGCGGUUUACUGGACUGCAACUGACACUGAGGCUCGAAAGCGUGGGGAGCAAACAGG